rnacentral:rRNA from 1 species
CAAUCUAUGUCGGCGACCGGCGCACGGGUGCGUAACGCGUAUGCAACCUACCCAUUACAGGGGGAUAACACUGAGAAAUCGGUACUAAUACCCCAUAACAUCCAGGGAGGCAUCUUCUUGGGUUGAAAACUCCGGUGGUAAUGGAUGGGCAUGCGUUGUAUUAGUUAGUUGGUGGGGUAACGGCUCACCAAGACAACGAUACAUAGGGGGACUGAGAGGUUAACCCCCCACAUUGGUACUGAGACGCGGACCAAACUCCUACGGGAGGCAGCAG